rnacentral:lncRNA from 1 species
AACGCAAAAAGGUAAGGACUUAAGGAUGAGCCUUGAUGUAAUCCUACAGUUAUGGGAAAGCUUUCGGUUUGUCCUUCAUGAGUUCUUACGGCAGUCUUUGCUCCUUCAUACAUAUCCUUUAUAGCUUGGAUAUAUGCUACUCGUACUCCUUUCUUCUCUAAAAUCCUCCAAAGAAUGUCUCUUGGGACCCUAUCAUACGCUUUUUCCAAAUCUAUAAAGACCAUGUGUAAAUCCUUUUUCCCAUCUCUAUAUCUUUCCAUCAAUCUUCGUAAGAGAUAGAUUGCCUCCAUGGUUGAGCGCCCUGGCAUGAACCCGAAUUGGUUGUCCGAAACCCGUGUCUCUUGCCUCAAUCUAUGCUCAAUGACUCUCUCCCAGAGCUUCAUUGUAUGACUCAUUAGCUUAAUACCCCUAUAGUUCAUGCAAUUUUGUACGUCACCCUUAUUCUUGUAGAUAGGCACCAAAGUGCUCGUUCGCCACUCAUUUGGCAUCUUCUUCGUUUUCAAAAUCCUAUUGAAAAGGUCAGUGAGCCAUGUUAUACCUGUCUCUCCCAAAAUUUUCCACACUUCGAUUGGUAUAUCGUCUGGGCCUACUGCUUUUCUAUGCUUCAUCUUCUUCAAAGCUACAACCACUUCUUCCUUCCGGAUUCUACGAUAAAAAGAGUAGUUUCUACACUCUUCUGAGUUACUCAACUCCCCUAAAGAAGCACUCCUUUCAUGUCCUUCAUUGAAAAGAUUAUGAAAAUAACCUUUCCAUCUGUCUUUAACCGCGUUCUCUGUAGCAAGAACCUUUCCAUCCUCAUCCUUGAUGCACCUCACUUGGUUUAGGUCCUUUAUCUUCUUUUCCCUUGCUCUAGCUAAUUUAUAGAUAUCCAACUCUCCUUCUUUGGUAUCUAGUCGCUUAUACAUAUCGUCAUAAGCCGCUAACUUAGCUUCUCUCACAGCUUUCUUCGCUUCUUGCUUCGCUUUUCUAUACCUUUCACCAUUUUCAUCGGUCCUAUCCUUGUAUAAGGCUUUACAACAUUCCUUCUUAGCCUUCACCUUUGUUUGUACCUCCUCAUUCCACCACCAAGAUUCCUUUUGGUGUGGGGCAAAACCUUUGGACUCUCCUAAUACCUCUUUUGCUACUUUUCGAAUACAACUAGCCAUGGAAUCCCACAUUUGGCUAGCUUCCCUCUCUCUAUCCCACACACACUGGGUGAUUACUUUCUCUUUGAAAAUGACUUGUUUUUCUUCUUUUAGAUUCCACCAUCUAGUCCUUGGGCACUUCCAAGUCUUGUUCUUUUGUCUCACUCUUUUGAUAUGUACAUCCAUCACCAACAAGCGAUGUUAAUUAGCCACGCUCUCUCUCCUGGUAUAACUUUGCAAUCCUUACAAGUUAUACGAUCUCCUUUCCUCAUUAGGAGAAAAUCUAUUUGUGUUUUUUGACGACCCACUCUUGUAGGUGAUCACAUGUUCUUCUCUCUUCUUAAAGAAGGUGUUGGCUAAGAAGAGAUCAUAUGCCAUUGCAAAAUCCAAGAUAGCUUCCCCAUCCUCGUUUUCUCUCCCCAAAACCAUGGCCACCAUGGAAACCUCCAUAGUUGCCUGUCUCCCUGCCCACGUGUCCAUUUAAAUCUCCUCCUAUAAAUAACUUCUCCGUCUGAGCAAUUCCUUGCACCAAGUCUCCAAGGUCUUCCCAAAAUUUCUCCUUCGAACUCUUAUCCAACCCUACUUGAGGUGCGUACGCACUAAUCACAUUGAUAAGUUCUUGUCCUAUUACAAUCUUGAUUGCCAUGAUUCUAUCUCCUACCCUCUUGACAUCUACAACAUCUUGUGUCAAGGUCUUGUCCACGAUGAUGCCAACACCGUUUCUCGUUCUAUUUGUGCCCGAAUACCAAAGUUUAAACCCUGAGUUUUCUAGAUCCUUUGCCUUACUACCAACCCACUUAGUUUCUUGUAGGCACAUAAUAUUUUAUCCUUCUCCUCACCAUAACUUCCACUACUUCCAUAGAUUUUCCCGUUAAGGUUCCUAUAUUCCACGUUCCUAAACGCAUUUUGCUCUCUUGAACUCUACCCUUCUGUCCUAGCUUCUUCACCCUUCCCCGUCUAAUAGGAUCAAAGUACUUCUUUUGUGUGUCCCGUGUAAAGUUGAUAGGAGCAUAUGCUCCCAAACAACUUUGAGUGGAGUCGUUCGAAAAGAAGUUUCUAUGGCCCCCUUGCUCAUUUAACACUGCAUCCGGGUGCCGAUGGAGAUACAGCGACCCUUGCUCAUUUAUCACUGUGCUCGGGCCACACAGCGCGCCACUUACGGGUGACGCCCUAGCUUUAGCGCGAUUUUGUUCUGGAUUCAUUUUCAUAAGGAUUCGACGUGAUCAUGGAGUGCCGGCUGUCGACUACCUGACGCCCUCCCCCUCCUCCUUUAUCCGGGCUUCAGCUUCAUAGACGCGAAGAAGCCUUCCAGACUCAAAGAGAGACAAAGAUUUGGAAAUUUUGUAUACAACUCUCUCACAGAAAGACAACAACGUUUUGGGAUGAAGACUCUCACUAAAAGAGAACAUCGUUUGACAGCGACAGAGCAGAGCACAAAGCAAAACGAAAACGAAAACGAAAGUUAAAUCGAAGGAAGAUGCAGUGGAAAACCUUUGAGAGCGAGGGAAACACAGAGGGGAAAGCAACUGAGCAAAUUUGCGAAAAAGAAAAGGAAAACAAAAGGUAAAGCAACCACAGUCAAAAAGGGCAUCCAACGAUGAUCGACGCAUGGACCAAAUUGAAACCUCGAGAAUUCACAUAUCACACAAACACAUGGUCAUCAGGGGCAAGGUAGUAAUUCCACUGUACCCAAAGUGGAAAAAAUGCUGAUAAAAAGGGCAUUUCCGCCCUUUCACUAUUGCUGAACAGUGCCAUCCCAACCAGGUCUUAGCAUGUAUAACUAGCAAAGAUGCCCACGCUCCGCUGCGGGUUUAAAACCAUAACCACAAUUUAACACACCCAUCUCAAGUAAUGGGACUAAGUAACCUUUCCAACAAUGAUUAGCAACUAAAAUUGGUCCACAAAUUAAUAAAAAGAAAAGCCAAGUGAAAAUCUGAACACUAUCAGCAGAUACAUACAUAUCCAUACAUGGUGGAUCCAUAAAUUUUAUCAUGAGUUCAGGUGUAAACAACUUGAUUGGGCUCACGAUAUAGGGUAAAUGAGGUUUAGCAACAUCACUUCCAAAACUUACACAGAUCGUUUUACAGAGCAGGAGGUUAUGAGAAUUGAGAAAUAAUACAUAUGUAUGUGAAAUCUUAUAAUUGCCAUUAAUAAUACAUAUAAUGAGGUUUAGCAGCAUCACUCCCAAUUCUUCUAUCAUAUAAUUGCCAUUAAUAUACAUAUGUGAAAUCGUAAUCUAUGUGAUAAGACUUGAGAAAUAAAAAAAAAAACUCAAAUUCCUGAAAUAACGAAUGCACAAACUUCAUGAUGAGAUUGAAGGUUUAUCUGUAGAUCAUCAACCAAUGAUGCUUUUGCCCAAGCAAUCUGAUCAUUUCUCUCGGCCCCAAGCAGAGCAGCCUCCUUGGAUUUAGUAAGCCGAUCAAGUGUUUUGUUGUCAGCCUACAACUUGGUUACCUAAAAAACCAAUACAUCCAGAAGUAUAAAAAAAAUUGAACUCGUUAUAAUUAUUAAUUCAUGUAAAUAAAUGAGUCGAUAGAUCCAUUAACAAUAUAUAAACCAAAUACAUAUUGAACACUCUAUACCUCACAGGUACAAACCAAAUAUGGAAGCCAAAAUAGACACUCAAAACUGAUACAAAAUACUAUAUGAAGUUUUUUCAAGCCUAUAUGUCUUUAAACAAAAUUAAAGGGGUCAUAUUGCAGAACAAAAGUAUACCUCCUGCAGCAAGCUUAAGCUCUGCCUCCAGUGGAGCAAUGAUGGAUUCAAUUGGUGGCAUUUCAUCAUCUUUCUGUGCGGCAUGAAUUCUUCAAAGUGUGGCUUUUGCUUCAAUAUCUUGAUAUAAAACAAAACCCCCAUAAUCAGAUUAAUAGUGUUUUUUCUUCAUAGUUUCAUGUACUUCAAAAGAUCUAUUAUGUAAAUUAUACUCAAGUGUUAUCACUAUAGAGAAAGAUACUAAACGGAUAUAUCACAUUUGGUUCUUCAAAUUAUCAUUGCUUAUAUAAGACAUUAAUGAUAUAUCCUCUGUUUAUAUAAUAUAUGUAUCUUUGAUUAUAAAACCAAUAGAACUUUUUACUAUUGAUCUUAGCAUUAAUAGUAAUUUAUUCACUAAUUUCACACAUUCUUGUCAAUUGUUUUCUUGUUAUUAAAUAUUAACUUUAGUUUCGUUGUCCAGUAUUAUUAAGAGAGAUCUGCAGUUUUACAUCUAUAUUCUCAAAGCAAAUCAGCAUCAAAUUCUUAUACAAUAGUGAUUCCAAUUGGGAUUACCUUAUAUUGUAAUAUAACCCGCACCAUAUGCUAAUUUCUUUAACAUAAAAAAAUUAUAAGAAUGUUAUGUACCAUAACUUAAUCUCUACCAAAAAAAAUAUAUGAAUAUUUGAAUAAAAUAUAACUAAACAAAAAAUUUAGGUACAUAUACUAUUUGUGAAAAAACUUUAGAAAGCGGAAUAGGGAUGAUCCUGAAAACUAUAAGAGUAAAAUGUUUAUUCUCUCUGUGGGAGAUUUGAACAAAAAAUAAAUAGUCCAAAUUCCAAUCAAGAAAAAUACAAAGUUUGUAUGGAAGUUUGAGCUUUACCUGUAGAUUGGCAGCAGUAAAAGCAAACUGAAUCAACGGGAGCCACGUUAGAGAACUGAAUACCCAGCCUUUCACAUGCUAUCGAGUGAGUUUAGGAAUCUGCUUUUGUGUUUGCCGUUGAUUUCAAGAACGAUCUGGAGUCACAAAGAUAACAUGUAGAAUGCAAAUAUGAAUCAGGAAGAAACAACAGCUAUAAAAUUGAUUAUAUAGAAGAAGAAAUACAUACUUAUUGUGAGGUUAUCCCAGCUAUCCACUUUGACCCACUCUUUCUACAAACAAAAACCGAAGUUGGAUGAUGGGAUGUAUAUAUAGCAGGUAAAAACUAUAGCAGCAAAAAUCUCAAUUUUACUCUAAACGAUAAUUUGAAACUAUGACUGUGAUGAGCGAGAUUACAUAACUGCUGAAAUUUUGGAUUGAAGGAAACAUAGUGCUUGUAUAAGGAAAAGGGUCCACUAUGAACGCACCAUAGGCAGUGAAUGAGAAACUCACUAAAAAAGUUGCGAAAGAAAUAUUAAAUAGCAUGAAAACAGUGCUUUUUGUUUUGAUCACCAAAUUUUGAAAAAAAGGUAUAUACAAAACCACAUCAAAGAUUCAACAAUCAGUAGGGAAGUGCAAAAUGUUGAAUAUUAAUUCAUUGCAGGAACAAAAAAUUUCAUAAAUUUCCAUUAUUUGACAAUUUUGAUGAGCAACUGACAUUGGAGACAGAUACAACCCAAAGCAAAGAUAGCCCGUGCAGUUAAUUCAAACACUAUUGACAAAAAAUUCCCACAAAAUCGAUAUUCAUAUAAUCAUAUUACAAUUAAAAUUAUCCCACUGUACACAUAUACUGCGAUGCAAAGAGGGCCAAUAGAUUGCACAAUUGGAAACAAAAGAUAGCUAGAUGAAGGGAAAGGAGAUCAGAGGCUUACUAAUCAGGAUCCAUGAUUGUGAGUCGUUGAAUAUACGAAGAAAUCGACCAGGGAUUCUAGCUCCGAUGGACUUCUGGGCUUGGUCUUGAUCAUCCAUCCAUCUUCAUAUGGGCUCGAAUUGAUCUGAAUAAACCCAAAAUAGAUUAAUGGUUUCGCAACAUACAUGUCAAACUGUUUAAACAAAAGUACAGUACUUUGUCAAAACGUGCAUGCCAAGAAUAUUUGAAAAAUAUUAACUUAAUGAAGGGUAAGCAUUGCUUUAGGAAAGAUAAAAGUAAUAAGUAUAGGCGGAAAGGAAGAUGAAUUACCAAACCAGGUGAUUCAGUAAGUUUUGAGUUAACCUCGACGACUUCGCCGGAGAUUGGAGAAUUUACAUCUCUGGUUACUUUGACACCUUCCACAGCUCCAAAGCUGCCUCUUUGAGAGACUGAGUGACCAUCUUCUGGUAGCUCAACAAACACUACUUCUCCAAGAUGGUCCUGAAACAAAGCUUCACCUGCAUCACUCACUUCAUGGUCUAUACACUUACAUGCAACUUUCGAUUUGAUUAUUAUAUAUUUAGUAUGUUGAUACACUAUUAUGGAAACGAAAAUAAUUGUAAAAUACAAUUCAAAAAGACAAAUAUUUCUUUAACCCAGUUGCAAGAGACGUCGAAAAUAAAGAAAUGGAGUUCUGUAUAUUAAUAUUAACUUGAGAAUGAUCAGCGAUACCAAUUGUUACCACUGAACCUUCAUGCUUCGCCCACUCAUGUGAAGAUGCAUACUUCAAUCCAUCCAAAACUGCAAUAUCCAAACAUAACCCCCAAUAUUACAAUUCUUUUCAACUUAAUUACCUAAAAAUAACAAACUUUAAAAUACCCCAAAUACAUAGCACCCCUAAAUUCACCAUCGUUUUUGCAAAAGAAACGCAGCUCUGAGCGACGGCGACCUUCGGUUUCAGCGAGUUCUCCGACUGAUCUGUUGGCAUAAAAAUCGACCCCAUCAAACUCCCCAUCCCAAAUUUCACAAUUUCUUUUUAUCAAAAUUUGAUGCAAAACGAAAACCCAUCAAAACCUAGAACCCAAUUUGGCAUUUCGAAUAUAAAAAUAGUGUUCAGAGAGUCGGCAACUCAGAAUUUCAGCCAAACAUAAAAGAGCAUAUGAAGAAAGGAGUAUUGUAAGAUGCUGAGAAGAAUUAGGGAAAAAGAUGAGUUUUACCCAAGGACUACUCGAGCUGAGUUCUGAGAGAAGGUCGAGCUGGAUUCUGAGACAGAAGUCGAGCUCGAGCUGCGUUUUGAGUUUCUGCGGAAGAGAGCUUGUGGUUUCCGGAAGCAAAUGGAAAUCCCGGCUUUUCCAUCCUUUUCCCUUUCCAGGAUUACCAAAGAACUAAAGUGGGGUAAAAAAGGAAUCACACUAUAGAAUGAACAGUGGCCAACAAACAAUAAAAGGGUAAAAACGAAAAAAAACUGUAGAAGGAACAGUGUUUCUCGGGACAGCAGUAAUACCUUCGUUAUAAUCUGAAAUAAUAAUAAUAAGAGUAUAAAGAUAACUAUCUCUAUUAUCUCUUCUCAUCUUUCUCUCUUUUCUCUCUUCCUCUUCCUCUUUUUUCUCUAUUAUCUCUUCUCCUCUUUCUCUCUUUUCUCUCUUCCUCUCUUCUCUCUUCCUCUUUCGUGAGUCUCUCACUUUCAUCUUCUCUUCUUCUUUUUAUCACCACCUUUUGAACAUUUGUAAUGCUCUAUUUAUAAAGCAAACAUUUUGAAAAGCAAACAAAACACUAUUAAACUUGUAAAAGGUUUACUAUAUGCAUGUGAGCAUACAUACAUACCCACUAUUUACAACAAAAAUAUUGAAUGAAAAAAUUAAUCUAGUUUAUUCUUAAGUGUUCAAAAUUAAUCUAGGUUACAUAGAUGAAGUUGCAUCUUUACACCAAACAACACAAUGGUUCUAUAUAAACCCAUAAAAUCAUUAUCAUUAAAGAUACAAAAUUAGAGCUAAUGUUUACUCUUGAGAAAUAGGAUUUCUCCACUCUAUUUCUUUCAUUUUUCGUUUGUCAUAUUCUAAGUCGUGUUUUGAGAGCACAAAAUAUAUAAAGUUUCUUAGAGUCCGAAGAUUGAAGUGCUUCAACUUUGGAUUAUAGAUUGUUGAAUCCUAUGAGAUGGACACCUACUGAACUACAAGCACAAGAGUAGGGGUAUAAUUCUGCCUUUAGAACAUUGCAUUUAUACAAGCCUCAAUCUCUAAGUUUGUCAAUUUUUCUAACUUUCUCUUUAGUUGUUUAUAAUAAUCUCAUAUAUAUUAAUGUUGUGAAUUUCUCUAUGAUUAUUAUUAUUGAAAUUCUAGUUUUAUUUUCAUAUUUGUUAAUAUUGCUCCAUUAGUCAAUGCUUGUUUUGGUCAAGCAAUUGGAAAGAUGUCUUUUGCUCAGGGGACCCGUGCGAUGUUUUUCUUGACUAUUCAUUAUUUAAAAGUGGAUGGAUAGUGUCAUUUAGUACUACGAUCUAAAUGUAUUCCUCUUUAUUUGUAAAUGAGAAGUCUUAUGUUUGAUUCUUGCCAAAUGCGAAUUUGAAUUAUAUCUAAAUGUAUUCCUCUUUAUUUGUAAAUGAGAAGUCUUAUGUUUGAUUCUUGCCAAAUGCGAAUUUGAAUUAUAUUAUUACUAGCCAUGUGAGGCUUAGCCCACUCCCUCUUCUUAGUGUAAACAAUAUCAUUUGUUAAAAAAAUGGAUAUAAUAUCAACUUGGUCUAGUUUCGACGUUGGAAAAGGUUUAACUUGGUGGACUAUUAUUUUUGGUGAUUAUUAGUUACUUUGUUUUAUGAGAAAUUCUUUCAGAUAACCAAAAUUUUCCUUUAGGCGUCAUUACUCAAUCAAUAUUUGCCACGAUUUUCAAAGCAUACGUUACCUUUCUAAUAGACGAUUGCCACGUUAUGGAUUUGUGAGAUAAAUCUCUCCCCAUCCGGUUGAUAAGAAUGGUGAAAAUAAAGGAUAUGGCCAUACAUGAUAUCCAAACUGUUGAAGACACUUCCAUUUUUUCAAUGUCUUGUACAUAUUAUAUUUUAUAAUUAGGAUAAAUGAGAGCUUUACAAAUUAAUCAAUGCACUGAAUAAUAUAGUUGCAAAGUCCUUUGCCGUAAACUCUAUGGGCAUGUUUGUUUAGCUUCACUAAACAUCACUGGACUGGACUAGACUAAAAGCUAGUGUAGUCCAGUGUUUGUUUGCAAGAGGGACUAAGUUUAAUGGGACUAGGUGCGAUUCGCUCCGACUAAAACACUCGCUAGGUGGUCUUAGCGAGACCCCUCGAGAAGGAGCGGACUGCUAAGACCCUCUCCUCUUCACUUCGCCCCUACCCAGUCCCCGCGUCUCUCUUUCUUUCUGUAUUUCCUCUCUCUGCUUGAAGCUUCAGACGUUCAUGGUGGCUGGGCUGCUUGGCAUCGUUGAUCAGAGGUGAUGACCCAGAUUCUUCCACCACCGACAUCAGCCAUGGUGGCUGGACAACAACAGCCUCGAUCAGAUCGUCGCCGUUGAACCCUUCUCCAAAUUCUCCGCCAAAGCCAAAUCAAUCAAAGAAAUCCUGGAUUGCGUGUUUCAGGCUCUUGCUAAACUAUGAUUUGUCCAGAAAAUACAUGUACCAAAUCUGAAGAAAAUAGAAAAUAAAUACAAAGGGAGGGAGGGGAGAGAGGGUACAGAAGUAAAAUCGGAAAAAAAAAAUUUGAGGGGAAGGAGACUGGUACAAAGAAAAGGAGGGACAAAAAUGGGAGAAAAGGGGAAUGGGGAGGGAGACGCAGAGAAAAAGAUGAACGAAGUGAUUGGAGAGCAAGAUGGCUCUAGAAAAAUAAGAUAAAGUAAUACAAAAUAUUAAUUGAUAUAUUAAAUUAAAAAUAAAAUAUUAAUAAAUAUAGAUUAAAUAAUAUAAUAUUAUAAUCCUGCUUUUUAAUCCGACAUUGCACCAAACGCUUCACUAAGUUAGUCCAGCUUAGCCUAGUCUAAGCCAGUCCAGCUUAGUCCCUGAAGUUAGUCCAGUCCAAGACAGUCCGGUGUAACAAACGCACCCUAUAUGUUGAUGAAUGUCUAAGAGGUCACUACAAAAAAAUAAGUGAAAGUUUAUUCUACACAUUUGCAAUUAAAAAGAUACAUAACAUGUGUACACAUGAUGUAGGAUUUAACGAGGUAAAACUCACAAUUGAAAAAAUCUUCGAACUCUUAAGCCAAAAUAGGAAGAGAAAUGAGUAAAUAAAGACUUACAAAACUAAUCAACUAGACCCACAUACUAGUAGGCAAUUUUUUCACUGCACUUUGCUACUCGAUCUCUCUUCAACCUUUAAGUGGAAGUGGCACAACACUAAUGUGAUCGUCAAUCACUGUCUCCUCGAACUUUGUAAGAUAUUAAUGUGAUCAUGUAGAAUGUAUAAAAUGUAAUGAUUUUUUAAAAUCAAUGAACUACGAAAAUCACAAGGCAUAUUUUCAUAAUUAAUUUCUAAUCAGUGAUUAAAAACUAAAAUAUUCUUUUUGAAAACACAUGGACACAAAAUCGAUUUUUCUCAAAUAAAAACUUUGAUGCCGUCUCACUUUAAAACCCAAAACAUGCAACAUAUAAGUUUUGAAUAAACAGUGAAGAAAAUAUUGUUGGACAUUUGAGUAGUUUGAGUAGAAAUUUCUUUGUCCUACAUUGGCCAUUCCCAAAAGAUUUUAUCACUUUAUAAGGCUUUGUCCUUUAUAAAAAGUGAUUGGAGUAAUAGACCUGGAGACUAAAAUUGGGCUUACCCUUAGGGUUGGGCUUUGGGGUGUACUAAUUAAUUGAUAAUUAAUAUAUAAUUAAUUAUAAUUAAUAUAUAUUUAAUUGUCAAAAGAUGUGCAUUGGGCCUUGGGGCUCUUGGGCUCUAAUAAUUAAAUUAAUUUUUCAGAAUUAAUUAAUUAUUUUUAAUUUCGAAUUUAAAUUAAUUAAUUGUUUUUACCAACAGACUCAUCUUUUUAGAUGAAGUCUGAAGUGUGAGAACGCAGAAACAAAAACACCCUUUUCAGCAGAUGUCUCCUAACAGAUGCAUCCCUUUCUCAUACCUGUUGCGAACAAGUAUAAUCAUAUUAUAUAUACAUCCAUCUGCAUGGUAUUUAGAACACAGAAAAAAUCAUAAAUCUUCUCCUGCAAUCAUAAACAUCCUUUUUGAGAGAACCACAUUAAUAUUCGCCAGAAGUUAAUUUUUCGGUGCUGGAAUUUCUGACUUAGAUCGUUGAAUCCUAGUGAAGCAAACGUCCGUAGAACUACAAGCACUAAGUAGGGGCGAAAUUUCUGUUUCAAGGACAUUGCGGUACGCAAGCCUCGAUCUUUUAUUACUCUGCUUAAUUAAUAUUUCAUCUUGUUGAGUCUCUGGAAUAUAUUUAUUCGUAUUUAUUAUUAGCAUAUUUAUUUUAUUACGGAUUGUUGACAUAUAUCCAACAAAUAUAACUUUCUCUCUAAAUGCAGUGUUGCUGACUACCAUGUGCGGUAUAUGAAGAUAUCUGCAUGAAUUUUGCUCACAAUAUAAAUCUCAGUAACUACAGAAAACCACUCAUGCUCAGCGGCAACAAUAACCAAAACCACACAAACUACUUUAACACAUGUAGCACCCAAAACUGAAAACCAUAUUCUAAUGCACUCAGUGAUAUGCUAAUGCAUAUGCAUUGUCGAACAUACAUAAGUGGACGUCUCUGAAAUGCUUGGCAUUUUUGUGAUUGAGAGAACGAGAGACAAACUUAGACUAAAAUCAGCCUGACCCUGAACAAGCAAAGCCUCGAGUUCAACCUUCUCACUCUUCAACAUCUCAUUCUUAUCAAGCAAACCAAUAAGGACGCCUGCAACUUAUCCACUUCCUUCUCCAGACUUUCGUUGAUCUUCACGACACCUUGGAGUUCCAACACUUGGGGUUCAGGCGUAUCAGCAAUAGUCUGAAAGUGGAUUACUUGAUUAUAAGCAGCAAUCAACUCUUCAUCUUUUGCGAAGGCAACAUAACGAAGCCCCGAAACAGCAAGCUCAAGAUCUUGAAUCUAAGGUAUGUAAUGACCAAUCUUUUUCUCAACAUUUUCAUACUUAACUUGGAUCGUGUCAAGCCUUGCCUUCAAGUCAAUGAUCUCCUGGUGAGUGGUCUCAAGCUGCAGAGAUAUGGGACCCCUUCAAAUCGACGAGCUUAGACUCCAACUUUUUAAUCUUCUCAGAAGAAGAACAAGCCUGAACUGCCAUAGUCAUUCCCAUCUAGUUGGCAGCCUUAGUAUUUUCUUGGUCAAGGAGCAUAGACUUGACUGACAAAAUCGCCAUUUUCUGCAUCAUGGCAAGUAGAGCAGCCUUCCUAUACUAGGUUGUAUGCUUUGCAAAGGAACUUGGGCAAACAACCUUUAUGACGCUAUCAACAAGUUUGGCACACGCGUUCAUGUUUUCAAGCAGAUUGGGCUUCAAAAACACACAUCUCAGCAGACUUUCCAGAAACAGGCUUGUUGGAUUUCUCAUAACUGCACGAGCAGUCUCUUCUUUCUCAACGAUGAACCAGUCUUAGCAGUAAGAGGAAUUUUCCUUGGCAUCACUUUAGUAACAGAGUCCACCUUGUCGCUUUUUAUAGUAGCAAGCUUAUUCAAAAGUGAAACGGACUUAGCUCCUAACUGACGUUUUUGUAUAGACUUCGAAACUGGGGACAUGAUAGAACCUCUACAUUGAGCAAUCCGAUCAGCAAUCGUACUAGCCGUCUUCGGCAUGGCAGGUGUCACAGGCUCAGAUAUAGCAACCUCAUCUUUCUUCCCCAUGGGAGAAGUCAAGUCAAUCACAAGUUUCAUAACAGCAGGCAGACCAUCACGAACAGCAGAGAAAGUCUUCGAUUUUCUAAACCAGUAUCUCUUAAGCAAGAAGGGAAGGUUUCUUCUUUCCACCUUCAUUCAUAAUAAGCUCCACAACAGUGAUCGGGCGAGCCAAUGCCUUAGCCUUGAUCUACUUUAUCUCAUCUUUUGGGGUAGCCCACCUUGUUCCCUGCGAAGAUGACUAAACAACCAACGCCAUUCACGAUACUCAACAAGGAUACCUAAAACAAUGUGCACUUUCUUCAUAUCUGGAGAAGUCUUGGGAGUCGAGCCAAAUUUUGAUUCUACAUAGACAGAAGAGGACAAUGAAUAAAUCAGAGAGCAACUCAGCAAAAGUACAAAGUAGCCUAGAGACUAAGUAGUUUACUUACCGUUGAUGAAAAUCAUCAAAAAGCGUAGCUCAAGGGAAGAAUCAGACUCCCACUCUCUACUUAUCUCCAAAGUCUCCAUGUUUAGCUUUACAAAUAGACUUUUCGUACACUUCAUGCUUUUAAUAUUAUUUGUGAGCAUAAACUUAUGGUAUGACAUCAUUGGAUUUUAUCUGCUCAUUAUUACAUGUUUGCACGGUGAAUCUUAGUUAUUUGUACUGUCUUGGGCCAAGAACCAACUUCACGUGUAGUUCAUAUGCACUAUUUACAUUCGUUUUGGAUCCAGAGUUAGGUGUCAACCUGCCCUUUUGUAUGAUCUGUUGGACUCGUAUGUGUUCAUGACUUUCAAAUUUGGUGUCAUUCAACGCAAUUAUACAAACCUUUCUCUGUUUGAAUUGUCACAUUCUGGUUGAAAUACAAGAAUUCGUGUCGGGAUUGUGCCUCAACAGUGAUGAAGUGGAUUGUUGGACGACUUUCAACAUCAGAUCGAUACUCCACAACAUGCGUUCUCUAGGAAUUGCGGGUAGAGUCAGAUCUACUUAAAAGUAUUGGGAAGCGAAAAAAUUGUAAUGGUACGAGUUGGUUAAGACCAACUAGAAAUCUGAAACGGUGAUAUCACUCUGCAACAUAUGUUCCCCAGGAAUGGCAGGUCGAGUCAUAUCUUAGUGACAACUACUCAAAACUUUCGAAGUGCAUGUUAUGGAAAAUGAGUAAGUGCUAGUUGUGACGACGGUUAGUAAGUGGUAGUUGGUGGGAGAAAAUCAAUGUUCUCGAACUCGUUUCCACUGAAGAAAUUCAUAUGGAUCUCUAGAAUCAGUCUUCGGCGAUUGUUCUAUCGUUAACUUUCUUGCUUACUCCAACAGCAAAGUCAAGUUCCCUAACCAUUAACCAUCAGCUUCACAUCAAAUUCUUUGAGCGUUGACUUCAUUUGGUUUAUAUACUUUCUUGGGAAACUCCUCGAUAGCAAACGCUAUUCCCCCCAAUUUCCAAAAGGAGUUGCAAUUAUUGUUGUUGUUGUAGUUAGACUUGGAUGGUGAAGAUCUAGUCUUGUUUGGAUAAACAGACUCUUUGAACUUCACAUGGGUUUGGUACUCGGCGGUAAACCCUAAUUCCUUAUCCAUGUACUUUUAGGUAGAGGUGAACUUAGCCUUUUGCUUGUAGCCCAACUGACCAGUGCUCUUGUCCACUAACUAUUCAGCCUUGUAAAUUUCAAUGUAAUGGCUUGAAACUCGACCAUAUUCAUCAUUGCACUCAGUUUAUGUCGAUUCGGACAUGAACGCUAGGAGCAUAACCUUUUCACAAGCUUACCAGACUUACCAGAAAAAGUUCCACAUGGGUGUGAGGUUUGAAUCGUCUUUUGGUAAGAGACUGGUGAAGAUUGUAGUGCAGGUGAUCAGCAGAUUGCAUCACUAACUUCACGCUGAAUUACAUGGUCACCACUCAUUAUCCUGUUGCAAUUCAUCAACAUCAUAUCAUACUCUAGUAGUUUUUUUUUCCAAUGAUAAGUAAAUAAGUUCAUUUGCCCAAAUAUUUUAAGGGUAUCUUCUACCCAACCCCAACACACCUUUGAUAGGCAUAUUUUGAGAUUAAAUUCCAUCUUGAGUUUCGAGUCUGGUAUCUGAACGAACUAUCUAGACUUUUGGAAGAUGUGUUGUGUUCACUUGUAUUAUGGUUUUAACACAUUUAGAAGUUGCACUUCUCUUGAAAGGUGUGUACUCUCACCGGGUCUUUAGGUUGAUCACUUGAGAGUCCGUGUUUCCACCAACGUUGACCUUGUUUGACUAGAAAUAUGCAACUAAGCAAAAAUGGAGAGGUGGAUUGAGCACUACAACAAUUCCUAAGAGAUACUGCUUUUUGGGAAAAGUGACUUCUCGUUUUCUGCUUGCUUGGCUCUAGCUUUUGGGUCUACUAUUAACAUGGUAGCCACUUCUCUUGAAUCCCAAAGUACAGUUUUCAAAUGUGUUCUUUGUUGGCAAAGCACUGGAGUAGUUGGUCACAUUUGGAAGAACAGAAGAGGAUAAGAUGCUUGGUGCUGGUUAGAGUUUUAUGGCUACAAUUUCUAUUUUGUUCAGUUUGAGUACAACGCUCUUUGCAACAUGGUACGAGAGUUUUUUACAGGCAACACUAAUUGGCAGAUGAGUAUUAUGAACUGGUAUUCGGAUGAUCGAAUUUACGACAUAUGAAUUUGUGUAACCUCAGGAAAUUACUGCUUGCUUACCGAGACAACAAAUGUGUGAUCGAUUUUACGGGUGGCCGAUUAUGGUAUCGAUAACUUAUUCGUUGGGUUUGUUAAGCAAGUGGGUAGGAAGAUCUGUCUACAACAGCUGUCACGGAAUUGUUACUCGACCCAAUGACACAUCUGUUCUCGAAGUACGUGACGUUCGUAUGCUUAGACAAGACCCACUCUUAUUUUUCAGUUUUGAUUUUCAGUAUAAGUAUUUUAACUUCCUUUACUUUAGUUAUUUGUUUUUGUCGUUAAAAUGUUUUGGGGGAAGUAUUUUCGUUUUCAGUUUUAAGUUUAGCACAAAAUUUUGACCUAUAUGUUAAUAAAUAUCUAUUUUGACGUUAUCGUAUUUUAUGUACUUACUUUUGACCUUAAGCUAUUUUAUGUUUUCAACUUUACACCUUUACAAAGUAUGUUUCUACUUUUACACUGAUGGGGAAGAAAGUAAGAGCUUGGAGGCAUGAUAGAGGAUUUUGCAACCUACUCGUGACGGUAUGGCAUAUUUUCUUUGAUGCAACCACUGACUUGAUUACUCUUUAUACAUAUAUUCUUCUUCCUAUUUUUGAGCAAUUUCGUUAGUAAGUGAUUUUAAAUUUCGUGGACGAAAUUAUUUUAAGGGGGCUAGAUUGUUACACCCUAUCCGUGAUUUUAAAGGUAGUUUUGGGUUUUUAUUUAGAAAUUGUUUUUAGGGCUUUAAUAGGUGUGCCCAAGGGGCCCACCCCCUAAUUUGUCCCCCGGUUCCCUUCCCCUUUUCUUUCUUUUUCUGAUUUUUAUAACUCUCUCUCCUACAGCUCUCACUCUCCCUUAUCUCUCCCUCUCGACUCUCUCUACAACCUCCUCCCCCGAGUACCUCACACACAUACGCAAGUACCCAUUCCCUUCGGCGAGCAUCAUCAACCACCACUUGGACCUCCUCGGUGUGACCUCGGACCACCAAGGUUGUCCUCCUCUUUCCCCUCUCACGGAACAGUGACACUGUCACUGUUCAAAGUGUGCUUCGGCGAACCCUGACAUAGGUGAGCUUCAAAACCACUCUAAAACUUUCCCUUUUUAUCCUCAUAAUUGAUUUCUAAUCGUAUCUGUGUGUUUUGGCUGUCGAAACUACGAAGAAACACGUGGAUGAGACUUCCCUAGAUUUUCGACUUGGAACCUGUCACUUUUGAGGCAAUUUUCGGCCAAACCACAACGAGUUGGCCAGCGUGCAAGGUAUCAAUCUUUUCGUCUCGCUGAGUACUACAACUUUCCUUUUUGUUUCACCCAAUUUUGUUGAGUAUUGAAGAAGUUAUGUUCAUUUGAAUCUUACCUAGUUUCCGGUGAGUUAGACAUGUACGAGGUACUAAUUUUUCCUCUCGUCGAGAAUUAUGAUUUCUGUUUUUGAAUCACUCAAUUUCGUUGAGUAUUGACAAAGUUAUGAACGUUUAAAUUUUGUCUAAAAUUCCAGCCAAAAUCUGGCUUUCUUCUUCCCUCGAAUCUGGCGACUCACAACCUAGAAACCCAGGCCAUUCGGGUCGUAACCAAACCUCGGGCCUUUGGCCCUCUAAACCCUCGAGCCCAACCCAUUCUUUUAAUUAUUGAUUUAGUUAUUUAUUUUCCUAAAUCUAAAGGUCUUUGGGCCGGGCCUUUAAGCCCAAGCCCAUGUAAACCUUAAGCCGAGAACCCAAGUAAGACAGGCCUUUGGGCCAUUGAAACAGCCCAAGACCCACGGGCUUUCAAGCCCAAACGUAAUAUAACCAGCCCUAAAACCCAUUUUAAAUUAGAAACCCUUAACCCAUUAACCCAUUAUUCUAAGCCCAACUUACCCAAACCUAAACCUAAACCAAGCCCAAACCCUUUAAACCCUUUGAUCCAAAACCCCUUUAAGCCCUAACCCAUUAACCGAACCUUUAACCCUAGCCCAAGUCCUUACUAAACCCUAAACGCUAAACCCUAACCGGUCCAAACCCUUUAUGGGAAAUAUUCCAUUAGGGAAUAUUCUAUUGACUUUUACGAAAUUUACCCGAGACCCUUCUUAGGGUAAUUCGACAUCCUGAAUCCGUUUCCGACGUCCGUUUUCCCAAAUUCAAUUGUUAUAAUAGAUUUUUAUUAAUUGGAUCCUUUAUGUGCUUAGGGGCAAUUAUUUGUGACGAUUCCAUGUUCGCUAGUUUGCGUGGCUCUUCGGCGGCUAAGCAUCUGUGAGUGAACCCCUUCUAAAAAUGCAUGCUUUAAUAGUAGAAAUGUAUACAUGGAAAAGCAUGAUUUAACAAUUAUGUUCUAUGAAACACUUUGAGAUAACAUGCUUACUGAGGCUAAAUUGAAUUACUACUAUUUUUCCUAUAACUCGUGUUCUUUAUAGAAUAUCUGAUGGAUGACGAUAUAAUAUUUAGAACAUCUUUCAAACACUUCUUUAUAGUAUAGAUGAUGGAUGACUUUAUACUAUGAAGAUGCUUUUCAAAUAUAUAUGUUCAAUGGUUUUGUACUUACCUAGUGGUCCCAAUUCUGCUACGGGGCGAGGGAUGGAUUCCGUCCCGGACGACAAUUAUGAUGUUGGCAUAGGGCCUGAAGGGUUUUUCCUCUGGUAAUUAGCACAGGGAUAGGGAGCUGGUACAGGGCCUGGGGUGAUUUUCCUCUGGCAAUUGGCAUAGAGACGGGGAGCUGGCAUAAGGCCUAGAGGGAUAUUAGACAUUCACUAGUGAUUACGAUAUAUAUGAGUUAUGAUUUGAGACAUUGCACGGCAUGCUAGGUUUCAAAAAACCUAUUUUUAUCGUGAUAUAUGUGUUUUCAUAAAACAUGGGGGUUAGUAUAUUGAUAACUGUUUUAUUACAUAUAUAUAUAUAUAUCAACUUGGUCCACUCAUGUUUGUUUUGCACCCCCUUCAGGACUUAGAAUCGAGGCAUACAAUCCCGGUGUCAAGGCACUUCCGCAUCGGCAUCUUCGAGUCCUCUCGGUAUAGGACCCAUUCUUUUAUUCAUUCAAUUUUAUAUUAUUUCUUUUAGUAUUCUAGUUAGUUGUAUACUCUGGACACGUUCUUUAAAUGCAUAUUCAUUAUAUUUAUAUUUAUAAGUCUUAUCUAUUCCUUGUUUUCAGUAUUUACAUUCAAUAAAUGACUUUCGUCAUCCUCGGGUGUUGGUCAGCACGUGCUUAUCCUAGUAUUCGGGGAAUAUCGAGAUCAAGGCGUGUCACUCUCCUUCUUGAAAGUUCAUCCUUGUCAUUUCCUUUGCAAAUUCAUUUUCAAUUUCUUGUUGAAUUGAUUACAAUUACAUAGUGAAAUCUAGCUCAAAAGUAGCUCAAAUACUAACAUGGUCCACACUGCGCAUGUGAAAACAAUUCAACAGUUAGUGGGCGUGUUCACUAAAGCCUUAAGUACUUUGCAAUUUGAUCAUCUUCUAAGCAAGUUGGGUGUCAUAAACAUACAUCCCAUUUGUAAAAUUUCUAGCAGAGAUACAUGCAAUAAUUGUCCUAUAUAUAUGUGUUGUAAAAUUUCUAGCAUGCAUGCGUUUGUAAAAUUUACAGCACAGAUACGAGUGUUUUCAUUAUCCAGGAAAUAAAAUUCUCCCAAGUUGAAUCUUUUUACAAACGAAUCCAAGUUAUUGUACUGUCCGGGUUCAAUAACGCAUUGGACAUAGACCUCAUCUAACGACGAAUCCGUUUUAUAUAAGUUCAUCUCUUAUUUUAACCAUUAAUAAAUAAAUUCAAAUGAAAAUUGCCUGCCUGUUUAAUGCCUGUAUAAAUAAAUGAACAAAUAUUAAAUAUCCAACCUAAGAUUAAAAAUACGAGUAAAUUUCCUGCUUCUUUAGGUCCGAAUAAAUAAAAGUAAAUAAAAAGAAUCCUAAAUUAAAAUUGCCUGCCUGCGUUCUUGUUCGAGGAGAGUGAUAAUGAUCUAACGUGGUGGUGGAGCUGGAACACAAUAGUAGGUUAGCCGAACAAGAACAAGGAAGGCAGCAACUUUUUCAUUUAUUUUCCCUGUGAAUAUGAGGAUGGAAAGUCCUUGCUGGCCAAGUUUCCAAACCCAAUUUAUGUUCUCAUAUCUUCUUCUUCUUCUCCAACCCUAAACCAAUCCACAACCCCACUCCCACCCAUCAGAGAGAGAGAGAGAGAGAGAGAGACAGACAGACAGAAUUUGAAUUUGAGAAUUAGAGAUGAAUCUGGCGAGGGUUCUGAAAGCGGCAACAGCCAACAUUGUUCCUUCUCCGUCAGCUUGUUCACCGACAAGGGUGGUUGGUGUCGGUCAUCCUCCGCAAUUCCACCUCACAAGAAGAUUAAUGGCGUCCAAGGCUGCCAACGCUGCUGCUGAGCCUCAUAUCAUGGCUUCCUCCUCCUCCUACAGUGAUCCAUGCCUUGAUCUCUUUUUCAACGUGCGACCACCACCACCACCACCAGCAUCCGCCGGGCAUAAUUCCCACACUGACACUGCCCUCAUCAACUCCCUCAAGCAGCAGCUCCCAGUCGCCUGGUCUCACAAUCCCCUCACCUCCCUCAAGAUUAUCUUCAACCUCUCUACUGGAAGUCACUUCUAUCUUGAAGCCUUGUCCGCGGCCACAUCUUGGCUCCACCAAAACCACCCGAAGACUCUCGCGCGCAACCUCGACUCUUUCGAGGGAUUGUACACCCUUGUCCAGAUUCUCUACAGCCUUCUCCUUCCGGAGGGUUAGCAGAAGACGGAGGUGGAGGAGAUGGAGGAUAAACACCGCGAGAGAUACAACUGCGAUCCGCAUUACAGGUUGUUGCACGACCGAGCUAUGGAUGUUUUUGUGGAGCGGCUCAAGUCCGAUAUUGAAAAGAUGAAGAACAAGAAGCUGGAACUCAAGCCGUCUGAUUAUUUAACUGAUGACGACGAUGACGAAGAUGAUUCUAUGGAGGAUGAUUCUGUUAUACGUCCUAUUGAUGUUGAUGCUUUUGCUGACCUCUACGUCUCCGAGGCCGCAGAUUGUUUACUAAACACAUUCCCCUCCGAUGCCCACGCCAUCCACGCCAUUGCUCUGCUCGAAAGCACUGCCAGACGGCUUUUCCCUUUUGUGUCACAACCGCAACAGCUCAACCCGCGAAGUUGCGGUGUGGAUAUUAAAUAUUUGGAGGAGGUGAAAGCCGCAGCAGCAACAGCAAGCAACGGAAAUUUAAGCUGCAUCAUAAAGCCCGAUGCUUUGCUUCAACAUUUAAUCAUACGAUAUCUGCAAGAUGCGAAUGUUGGGGAGGCGGCUGAGCUUCAGUGGGAUGCAUUGCUGCGCAAGCACAUGGAGGGUGGCAAAUUCAGAAACUGCUUUGCUGUAUGUGACAUGGACAGAUUUAUGGGCGCUGGAAUGGAAUUGCCGGCCAGUUUGGGACUUUUUGUGAGUGAAAUGAAUGAAGAGGCGGCCUGGAAAGGAAAGCUGAUCAGUUGCGCUCCUCUUUCGGCUGCUGCUGGAGACGAUCAUGCUAUGUUGCCUCGUUUUCCUCAUCUGUAUUCGGUACCCUCAACGAUGGCCUAAAGUCCAAAUUGUCCGGUUUGAUGGGAAUGGACUGCUGCAUGGUAGUGCAUUUGCAAAAGGUGUUUGAUUUGAUUCUCCAAGUGACUGUCAAUGAGAAUUUGAAGCCAGAUCAGAUGAUCCAGAAGCUCUUUAUCUUCAACCACGACAUACACCCCGAUUUUUAUGAUGAUGCCGCCUGGGAGACUCGAACUCCGCCUAUGUAAGUUUAUCUUACAUUGCCGGUCCCAAGUCCGGAUAAAGGAGGAGGGGGAGGGCGUCAGGUAGUCGACAGCCGGCACUCCAUGAUAACGUCGAAUCCUUAUGAAAAUGAAUCUAGAACGAAAUCGCGCUAAAGCUAGGGCGUCACCCGUAAGUGGCGUGCUGUGUGGCCCGAGCACAGUGAUAAGUGAGUAAGGGUCGUUGUAUCUCCAUCGGCACCCGGAUGCAGUGUUAAAUGAGCAAGGGGCCCAUAAAAACUUCUUUUCGAACGACUCCACUCAAAGUUGUUCGGGAGCAUAUGCUCCUAUCAACUUUACACGGGACACACAAAAGAAGUAUUUUGAUCCUAUUAGACGCGGGAGGGUGAAGAAGCUAGGACAGAAGGGUAGAGUUCAAGAGAGCAAAAUGCGUUUAGGAACGUGGAAUAUAGGAACCUUGACGGGAAAAUCUAUGGAAGUAGUGGAAGUUAUGGUGAGGAGAAGGAUAAAUAUUAUGUGCCUACAAGAAACUAAGUGGGUUGGUCGUAAGGCAAAAGAUCUAGAAAACUCAGGGUUUAAACUAUGGUAUUCGGGCACAAAUAGAACGAGAAACGGUGUUGGCAUCAUCGUGGACAAGACCUUGACACAAGAUGUUGUAGAUGUCAAGAGGGUAGGAGAUAGAAUCAUGGCAAUCAAGAUUGUAAUAGGACAAGAACUUAUCAAUGUGAUUAGUGCGUACGCACCUCAAGUAGGGUUGGAUACGAGUUCGAAGGAGAAAUUUUGGGAAGACCUUGGAGACUUGGUGCAAGGAAUUGCUCAGACGGAGAAGUUAUUUAUAGGGAGGAGAUUUAAAUGGACACGUGGGCAGGGAGACAGGCAACUAUGGAGGUUUUCAUGGUGACCAUGGUUUUGGGGAGAGAAACGAGGAUGGGGAAGCUAUCUUGGAUUUUGCAAUGGCAUAUGAUCUCUUCUUAGCCAACACCUUCUUUAAGAAGAGAGAAGAACAUGUGAUCACCUACAAGAGUGGGUCGUCAAAAACACAAAUAGAUUUUUUUCUAAUGAGGAAAGGGGAUCGUAUAACUUGUAAGGAUUGCAAAGUUAUACCAGGAGAGAGCGUGGCUAAUCAACAUCGCUUGUUGGUGGUGGAUGUACAUAUCAAAAGAGUGAGAAAAAAGAACAAGACUUGGAAGUGCCCAAGGACUAGAUGGUGGAAUCUAAAAGAAGAAAAACAAGCCAUUUUCAAAGAGACAGUAAUCACCCAGUGUAUGUGGGAUAGAGAGGGGGAAGCUAACCAAAUGUGGGAUUCCAUGGCUAAUUGUAUCCGAAAAGUAGCAAAAGAGGUAUUAGGAGAGUCCAAGGGCUUUGUCCCACACCAAAAGGAAUCUUGGUGGUGGAAUGAGGAGGUACAAACAAAGGUGAAGGCUAAGAAGGAAUGUUGUAAAGCCUUAUACAAGGAUAGGACCGAUGAAAAUGGUGAAAGGUAUAGAAAAGCGAAGCAAGAGGCGAAGAAAGCUGUGAGAGAAGCUAAGUUAGCGGCUUAUGACGAUAUGUAUAAUCGACUAGAUACCAAAGAAGGAGAGUUGGAUAUCUAUAAACUAGUUAGAGCACGGGAAAAAAAGACAAGGGACCUAAACCAAGUGAGGUGCAUCAAGGAUGAGGAUGGAAAAGUUCUUGCUACAGAGAACGCGGUUAAAGACAGAUGGAAAGGUUAUUUUCAUAAUCUUUUCAAUGAAGGACAUGAAAUGAGUGCUUCUUUAGGGGAGUUGAGUAACUCAGAAGAGUGUAGAAAUUACUCUUUUUAUCGUAGAAUCCGGAAGGAAGAAGUGGUUGUAGCUUUGAAGAAGAUGAAGCAUAGAAAAGCAGUAGGCCCAGACGAUAUACCAAUCGAAGUGUGGAAAGUUUUGGGAGAGACAGGUAUAACAUGGCUCACUGACCUUUUCAAUAGGAUUUUGAAAACGAAGAAGAUGCCAAAUGAGUGGCGAACGAGCACUUUGGUGCCUAUCUACAAGAAUAAGGGCAACGUACAAAAUUGCAUGAACUAUAGGGGUAUUAAGCUAAUGAGUCAUACAAUGAAGCUCUGGGAGAGAGUCAUUGAGCAUAGAUUGAGGCAAGAGACACGGGUUUCGGACAAUCAAUUCGGGUUCAUGCCAGGGCGCUCAACCAUGGAGGCAAUCUAUCUCUUACGAAGAUUGAUGGAAAGAUAUAGAGAUGGGAAAAAGGAUUUACACAUGGUCUUUAUAGAUUUGGAAAAAACGUAUGAUAGGGUCCCAAGAGACAUUCUUUGGAGGAUUUUAGAGAAGAAAUGAGUACGAGUAGCAUAUAUCCAAGCUAUAAAGGAUAUGUAUGAAGGAGCAAAGACUGCCGUAAGAACUCAUGAAGGACAAACCGAAAGCUUUCCCAUAACUGUAGGAUUACAUCAAGGCUCAUCCUUAAGUCCUUUCCUUUAUGCGUUGGUAAUGGAUGAGUUAACAUGACAUAUUCAAGAUGAUAUUCCUUGGUGUAUGCUUUUCGCAGACGAUAUAAUGUUGAUAGAUGAAACUCAGGAAGGGGUAAAUGCAAAGCUUAACCUUUGGAUAGAAGUGUUGGAAUCUAAAGGUCUUCGCCUAAGCCGAUCAAAGACAGAAUAUAUGGAGUGCAAGUUCAGUGCAAAUGGAGGCCAAAACGAGUUAGGGGUGAGGAUCGGAGAUCAAGAAAUACCAAAGAGCGACCAUUUUCGUUACCUAGGAUCUAUCUUGCAAAAGAACGGAGAAUUAGAUGGAGAUCUCAACCAUAGAAUACAAGCUGGAUGGAUGAAGUGGAAGAGUGCAUCCGGCGUGUUGUGUGACCGCCGUAUGCCACUGAAGCUCAAGGGAAAAUUUUAUAGGACGGCAAUAAGGCCGGCGAUGUUGUAUGGCACAGAAUGUUGAGCGGUGAAACAUCAACACGUACACAAAAUGGGUGUAGCGGAGAUGAGGAUGCUUCGUUGGAUGUGUGGGUACACGAGAAAGGAUAAGAUUAGGAAUGAGGAUAUCCGGGGUAAAGAAGGAGUAGCCGAAAUUGAAGGAAAGAUGAGAGAAAAUCGGUUAUGAUGGUUUGGACAUGUGCAAAGAAGGCCUACUGACGUUCCGAUUAGAAAAUGCGACUAUGGGACAGAGGUUCAGGGUCGAAGGGGUAGAGGAAGACCUAGGAAAACUUUGGAAGAAACCCUAAGAAAAGACUUAGAGUACUUGAAUCUAACGGAGGACAUGACACAGGACAGAACACAAUGGCGUUCUAAGAUUCAUAU